rnacentral:rRNA from 1 species
CCUACGGGAGGCAGCAGUGAGGAAUAUUGGUCAAUGGACGAGAGUCUGAACCAGCCAAGUAGCGUGAAGGAUGACUGCCCUAUGGGUUGUAAACUUCUUUUAUAUGGGAGUAAACUGUUCCACGUGUGGGAUUUUGUAUGUACCAUAUGAAUAAGGAUCGGCUAACUCCGUGCCAGCAGCCGCGGUAAUACGGAGGAUCCGAGCGUUAUCCGGAUUUAUUGGGUUUAAAGGGAGCGUAGGUGGAUUGUUAAGUCAGUUGUGAAAGUUUGCGGCUCAACCGUAAAAUUGCAGUUGAAACUGGCAGUCUUGAGUACAGUAGAGGUGGGCGGAAUUCGUGGUGUAGCGGUGAAAUGCUUAGAUAUCACGAAGAACUCCGAUUGCGAAGGCAGUUCACUGGACUGCAACUGACACUGAGGCUCGAAAGUGUGGGUAUCAAACAGGAUUAGAUACCCGUGUAGUC